UAGGGAAUCUUCGGCAAUGGACGAAAGUCUGACCGAGCAACGCCGCGUGAGUGAAGAAGGUUUUCGGAUCGUAAAACUCUGUUGUUAGAGAAGAACAAGGACGUUAGUAACUGAACGUCCCCUGACGGUAUCUAACCAGAAAGCCACGGCUAACUACGUGCCAGCAGCCGCGGUAAUACGUAGGUGGCAAGCGUUGUCCGGAUUUAUUGGGCGUAAAGCGAGCGCAGGCGGUUUCUUAAGUCGGAUGUGAAACCCCCCGGCUCAACCGGGGAGGGUCAUUGGAAACUGGGAGACUUGAGUGCAGAAGAGGAGAGUGGAAUUCCAUGUGUAGCGGUGAAAUGCGUAGAUAUAUGGAGGAACACCAGUGGCGAAGGCGGCUCUCUGGUCUGUAACUGACGCUGAGGCUCGAAAGCGUGGGGAGCAAACAGG
rnacentral:rRNA from 1 species